CCCGGUCACCUUGCAACGGACCUUGCCUUGUUUCCAUUCAUUUCCCAGAGCUGUCAGAUCAGAUUUCCACAAAGUGCUUGGCGGGGACCGGAGGUGUUCAUGGCCUCAAAAUGCUCACGUCUGCAAGUCCAAGAUCCAAGCCCAGCGUGGCUGAUUCUUCUCAGCAGCUCCUGGUCUCUCUCUUAACUGCCAGUUUGUGUAAAAUGGCGGGGGUUGGGGGAGAUGACUUAUGGAAGCUUAGUCUUCAUGACACCCUCUGUCAGUGUCCAGACGUCCGUUCGGUACGGAUGUCCGUCAUACUGUGUUUGAAGACCACCCUCCUAGUGUGGCUGCACCUUAAAUAGUUCCAUGUGCAGUGGUCUACUUCACACAGGGCCCUCCUCUAGGUUCUGGUGAUAUGGCUUUAUGUCUGUAAGUCUCCAGAGGACACAGUCUAAUUUAUUAGGGACUCCCCAAUGGACGCUGUUGGCAGACUGAUGUACAUUUUUGGCAGAGGAGAAAAAAAGGUGUUUCAUAUUUCAAUGAGAAGAUUGCUUUACUUUCAGACUUACAGGAGGUUGUGGGAAUAGCCUAAGGGAUUUCCAAAUGCCUUUCUUUCAGAUUCCCCAAAUGUUAGCAGUUUCCUUAGGUUGCCCUGGCGUUCUCUCUGUCUGAAUACUUCGGAUACCCUUUCCUUUGCAAAUCUCCAAAAAUAUUUGCCAAGCUCUUGUCUAAAAAACAUGGACUU
rnacentral:lncRNA from 1 species